AUUGAACGCUGGCGGCAUGCUUUACACAUGCAAGUCGAACGGCAGCACGGACUUCGGUCUGGUGGCGAGUGGCGAACGGGUGAGUAAUACAUCGGAACGUACCCAGUAAUGGGGGAUAACUAUCCGAAAGGAUAGCUAAUACCGCAUACGCCCUACGGGGGAAAGAGGGGGAUCGCAAGACCUCUUGUUAUUGGAGCGGCCGAUGGCUGAUUAGCUAGUUGGUAAGGUAAAGGCUCACCAAGGCGACGAUCAGUAGCGGGUCUUAGAGGACGAUCCGCCACACUGAAACUGAGACACGGUCCAGACUCCUCCGGGAGGCAGCAGUGGGGAAUCUUGGACAAUGGGCGCAAGCCUGAUCCAGCAAUGCCGCGUGCGUGAAGAAGGCCUUCGGGUUGUAAAGCGCUUUUGUCAGGGAGCAAAUCCUUGUGGCUAAUACCCACCGGGGAUGAGAGUACCUGAAGAAUAAGGACCGGCUAACUACGUGCCAGCAGCCGCCGUAA
rnacentral:rRNA from 1 species